ACUCAAAUGAAUUGACGGGGGCCCGCACAAGCAGCGGAGCGUGUGGUUUAAUUCGACGCAACGCGCACAACCUUACCCAGACUUGACAUGGAGCUGCACGCCGGGGAAACCCGGUCGCCUUCGAGGGUGCUCCACAGAUGCUGCAUGGCUGUCGUCAGCUCGUGUCGUGAGAUGUUGGGUUAAGUCCCGCAACGAGCGCAACCCCCGCGGCCAGUUAUAUGUGUCUGGCCGGACUGCCCUUCGGGGAGGAAGGCGGGGAUGACGUCAAGUCCGCAUGGCUCUUACGUCUGGGGCGACACACACGCUACAAUGGCGCCGACAGUGCGCAGCGACCGUGCGAACGGAAGCGAAUCGCCAAACGGCGCCCCAGUGCAGAUCGGGGGCUGCAACUCGCCCCCGUGAAGGCGGAGUUGCUAGUAACCGCGUAUCAGCCUUGGCGCGGUGAAUACGUACCCGGGCCUUGUACACACCGCCCGU
rnacentral:rRNA from 1 species